GGCAAAGUUCCCUGGGCUGAACAUCGCAUCCUUGCAGAGUAUCUGUUGCACAAUGGACAUCCCAUGCUAGUCUUCCUCUGUCUGGCUGACUUCCCUUAGUGUUUGAUCCUCCAAGACAUGUAAGGAUGGCCAGUGUUCUCGCCUGGAGAAUCCCAG